rnacentral:tRNA from 1 species
AGGGAUGUAUCUCAGUGGUAGAGCACUUGCCUAAUAUGCAUGAGACUCUGGGUUUGACCCCCAGCACUGCAA